GAGGAAUCAAACCCAAGUCUAAUUUUAAAGUCAAGCAGUUCUACUCCUGGGUGCGUACUCCUGAGAGAAAGUGCUUCCGUGUGCCCAUGAAGACGUGUUGAAGAAGGUCCACGGGAGAACUCUUCAUAACAACAAAAAAAUGGAAAUGACUGAAUUGCCCACUGAGAAAAGAAUGUAUAUUAGCCCUCAACCACUGAAUUUAAGAGGGUAGAGAGAAAGUUUUUCCUCCAUGACAGCGACUAAGACAGAAGAAUUCUUGCUCUCAUGGAAACUGCAUUCUACCAGGUA